GCUUGUUGGAGUUCCCUUGAAUGAAAUGCUUUUGCUGCCUUGCAUGGCCACAAGAAGAUUCUUCCUUUGUUUCUCAUCACUGGCUCCCACUACCUCUCCCACUUCGCCACCCACAGAGAAAAUGCCAGCCUUCGUCUGUGCUGUAAAAUCUUCUUGUUAUAACACGGAAGCAACUCCAGAGCCACUGAUAUUGUGAAACAUCUGGUAACUGCAAGCUGUGAGCUCCUAUGAGAUAAUCACAGGCCUGGAAAAUUAGGAGAACUUCCUCAACUCAGUUGUAUUUCAUGUUUUGUAAUACCCCCGAGUGCGGUUACCUCAUAAUACAGUAAUCACUCUGUUUCUGUGCCGUAAAUGAAACCGCAGAUGCUACACUGGGGUGGAACGACCACCUCUUAACAUAAAUAAAUGAUCAAAGUACCAUUAUUUUGAACCAAA